rnacentral:rRNA from 1 species
GACGAACGCUGGCGGCGUGCCUAAUACAUGCAAGUCGAACGAAGCUGUUUUAACUGGUGCUUGCACCGACUUAAACAACUGAGUGGCGAACGGGUGAGUAACACGUGGGUAACCUGCCCCAAAGCGGGGGAUAACAUUUGGAGACAGAUGCUAAUACCGCAUAACCACAGAAACCACAUGGUUUCUGUGUCAAAGAUGGUUUCGGCUAUCACUUUGGGAUGGACCCGCGGCGUAUUAGCUAGUUGGUAAGGUAAUGGCUUACCAAGGCAUUGAUACGUAGCCGAACUGAGAGGUUGAUCGGCCACAUUGGGACUGAGACACGGCCCAACACCCUACGGGAGGCAGCAGUAGGGAAUCUUCCACAAUGGACGAAAGUCUGAUGGAGCAACGCCGCGUGAGUGAAGAAGGUUUUCGGAUCGUAAAACUCUGUUGUCAGAGAAGAACGUGUGCGAGAGUAACUGUUCGUGCAGUGACGGUAUCUGGCCAGAAAGCCACGGCUAACUACGUGCCAGCCGCCGCGGUAA